rnacentral:tRNA from 1 species
GCAAUGACGGUGGUAUUGCACCAGACUGUAAAUCUGGCCCCACAGGGUGAACAUUGUAGGUUCGAAUCCUAC